UCUUAAAAUACACGUGCGUGUUGCCAGUUGCCACUACCCUUUUCUUCCAGAUCUUUCUUUUUCUUCAUCUGCUCUCACUAUCUGCCUUUCUUCCCAUCGAUUCUCACUCCUCGAUCCAUCGUCUUCACCGCUGCAUCAUCUUCUCUUGCUAUCUUUACCAAAUCGAUUCCAUUCUUCUUGAACCCUAAAUCGAUCUUCAGAAACCUUUUUUACCACCGGAUCUCCUCAGCGUGUCUUCCUUAAAGUCGGGUUUGCCAAGCCUCGAUUUUGCCUUCAUAUAAUGGGCAGAAGUUGGAUUGUUGAUGGUAGAGCUAUUGCAUGAAAGGAUGAAACAUGUAGUCCGCCUUUGGUAAAUCAAAUCAAAGACUGGAGCAAUUCAGGAUUGACCACGAUGCCAUUUCAGGAUUGAUAGUUGUGAUGUGUCAGUAGAGUAGUGGCCUGGGCUUACCGUUGGUGUGAAAUUGGAACCCACUGAUCUGAUCUUGAGCUCUUAGAUCAUUCGGCAGCCAAAUGUGGUGUGGGAAAUCAAAAACCACACCAAUUAAUUAAUGAGUUCAUCCCUACACUUGAUGUAGAUGAAGGAAUAUGUUCCAAACAUCCUGAAAAUCUUCUUGGAUAGUGAAGUUGAGAAAAUAUUAUAUGGACUCAGCUAUAUAGGAGCAACUAAUGCAUCAUUGUUGGGGGUGAGAUGGACAAACUUGCAAUUGAAGAAGAGGUUUAAAGAGCGGUGGUGUUCCUCAAAAAGUUUCUUACAAGGAUUAACCAUCUCAAAAACAGAUUUCCCGCCGCGCGCCGCAUUCUAACCUUCCAGUUUGAAUUUCGCCACCACCCCUUCAGGUUUUAAGCUUUAUAUUUUACUCCUUGCACUAUUACUUUAUUUUUUUACGUCACCACGCUCUCAAGUUUUAAACUUUGUCUCUUUACCCCUUGCGCUAUCUCAAGUUUUAAACGUUGCGUUUUUACUCAUUGCACUGUUACUCCAUUUUUACUGUCACCAGCCCCUUAAGUUUCAAACUUUGCAUUUUUACUCCUUGCACUAUGUUACUCUAUUUUUACACCUCCUCAACUUUUAAAAUUCCAUAAGGUUAACGCAUCAUAAAGCGUUUGGACUAAUUCAUUCGAUGUUUGCAAUGUACUCGCGUCGCAACGCGCACGGGUCUAAUUACUAGUAUACUUUUAAAACAAAAGGUCGGUGGCCACAAUGCACCGACUCAUGUUACAAUUUUACCCUUUGUCAAAAAUUACACAAAUACCUUUCAUUUCAACCUUUUUCUUUUCUACGCUACAUAUUAGACUGUGCGGAGUGGGGCGGGGGAUGUCCUUCAACGCCAGCUGUUCCACCCCGGGUUGGCGUUGGGCAUGGCGUUGCUCCUUUGUCGUGGGUAUUCAGCCUGGCGUGGGUAGGGGUGAGCAAAAGGCAAAACCCGACCCGACCCGAGAACCGAUCAGACAUAAAAUACAUAACCGAUUCACUACCCUAAAUAUAGGGUCGGUUCCGGGUUUUUAUGUAAUCGGGUUUGUCAGGUACUAAGUAUAAGAACCGACCCGACAUAUUUCAUUUUUGAGCAUGUUUUGUUAUGAACUUGGGAAGGCUAUUGUACAUUCACAAACCAUCCGAUGAUGAAGAAACACAACAUUUUCCUUGAUUUCGACCUUAUAUACAUUUCAAUCUAUGUUUCUAUUUCAAUCCAUUAACGGUGG